GGGGCAGCCGGACAGGACGUCCGCCUGAGCUUCGUCGCGACAGGAUGUCGCGUCGAAGCGACCCC
rfam:Hydrocarboniphaga effusa AP103 245_2, whole genome shotgun sequence.